rnacentral:rRNA from 1 species
UUCCCCUUAUCCUGACACAGCUCUAUGAAAAUAGGGGUAAUAUCAGAUGACACCAUGAUCUCUCAUGAGAUUAUGUUUAAAGACGGGGACCGCAAGGCCUGUCGAUAUGGGAUGAGUUUGCGUAGCAUCAGCUAGUUGGUAGGGUAACGGCCUACCAAGGCUAUGACGCUUAGCUGGUCUGAGAGGAUGGUCAGCCACACUGGGACUGAGACACUGCCCAGACUCCUACGGGAGGCUGCAGUCGAGAAUCUUUAGCAAUGGGCGAAAGCCUGACUAUGCGACGCCGCGUGAGGGAUGAAGGAUUUCGGUUCGUAAACCUCUUUUGGCAGGGAAGAAAAAGUUGCAGUUAAUAGCUGCAAAACUGACGGUACCUGCAGAAUAAGCCACGGCUAACUCCGUGCCAGCAGCCGCGGUAAUACGGAGGUGGCUAGCGUUACUCGGAAUUAUUGGGUGUAAAGGGCAAGUAGGCGGCUUGGUAAGUGGGGGGUGAAAUACUCCGGCUCAAUCGGAGAACUGCCUUCCAAACUGCCAGGCUUGAGUGUGACAGAGGAAAAUGGAAUUCUCGGUGUAAGGGUGAAAUCUGUAGAUAUCGAGAAGAACACCAGCGGCGAAGGCGAUUUUCUGGGUCAUUACUGACGCUAAAUUGCGAAAGCUAGGGGAGCAAACAGAAUUAGAUACUCUGGUAGUCCUAGCCGUAAACGAUGAGCACUAGAUGUCGGUCCCUUUAGGGGUCGGUGUCGCAGCUAACGCAUUAAGUGCUCCACCUGGGGACUACGGUCGCAAGGCUAAAACUCAAAGGAAUUGACGGGGGCCCGCACAAGCGGUGGAACAUGUGGUUUAAUUCGACGCAACGCGAAGAACCUUACCUGGGCUUGAACUACUCGUGGUAGUUCGCUGGAAACAGUGGACGACCCGCAAGGGAGCGAGCAGAGGUGCUGCAUGGUUGUCGUCAGCUCGUGUCGUGAGAUGUUGGGUUAAGUCCCGCAA